rnacentral:rRNA from 1 species
AGAGUUUGAUCCUGGCUCAGGGUGAACGCUGGCUGUGUGGAUUAGUCAUGCAAGUCGAAUGGGUUUAGACCCAUGGCAGACGAGGCAGUAACAUGUAGGUACGUACCCUUAAGUCGGGCAUAAUCCAUCGAAAGGUGGGAUAAUUCCCGAUAGUCUCUACGGAGUAAAGAUUUAUCGCUUAAGGAACGGCCUGCAACUUAUCAGCUUGUUGGUACGGUAACGGCGUACCAAGGCUACGACGAGUAGGAGAGGUGAGAGCCUGACCUCCGCCGAUGGAACUGCGACACGGUCCAUACCCCUACGGGGGGCUGCAGACGAGAAUCUUCCGCAAUGCACGAAAGUGUGACGGAGCGACACAGCGUGGUGGAUGAAGACCGUAAGGUCGUAAACACCUUUUAUGAAGGAAGAAGUAUAUUGACAUUACUUCAUGAAUAAGGGGCUCCCAACUCUGUGCCAGCAGCCGCGGUAA